rnacentral:rRNA from 1 species
UCGAGGAUCUUCGGCAAUGGGCGCAAGCCUGACCGAGCGACGCCGCGUGUGCGAUGAAGGCCUUCGGGUUGUAAAGCACUGUCGAGGGGGAGGAAGGCGCAAGCUUGACCUAUCCCUGGAGGAAGCACGGGCUAAGUUCGUGCCAGCAGCCGCGGUAAGACGAACCGUGCGAACGUUGUUCGGAAUCACUGGGCUUAAAGGGCGCGUAGGCGGGUCGGCAAGUCCGGGGUGAAAGCCCCCAGCUCAACUGGGGAAGUGCCUUGGAAACUGCCGGUCUCGAGGGAGGUAGGGGCAUGUGGAACUUCGGGUGGAGCGGUGAAAUGCGUUGAUAUCCGAAGGAACGCCGGUGGCGAAAGCGACGUGCUGGAUCUCUUCUGACGCUGAGGCGCGAAAGCUAGGGUAGCGAACGGGAUUAGAUACCCCUGUAGUCC